rnacentral:Y_RNA from 13 species
GGCUGGUCCGAGUGCAGUGGUGCUUACAACUAAUUGAUCACAACCAGUUACAGGUUUCUUUGUUCCUUCUCCACCCCCACUGCUUCACUUGACCGGUCUUUU